rnacentral:rRNA from 1 species
AUUGAACGCUGGCGGCAGGCCUAACACAUGCAAGUCGAGCGGAUGAAGGGAGCUUGCUCCUGGAUUCAGCGGCGGACGGGUGAGUAAUGCCUAGGAAUCUGCCUGGUAGUGGGGGAUAACGUCCGGAAACGGGCGCUAAUACCGCAUACGUCCUGAGGGAGAAGUGGGGGAUCUUCGGACCUCACGCUAUUAGAUGAGCCUAGGUCGGAUUAGCUAGUUGGUGGGGUAAAGGCCUACCAAGGCGACGAUCCGUAACUGGUCUGAGAGGAUGAUCAGUCACACUGGAACUGAGACACGGUCCAGACUCCUACGGGAGGCAGCAGUGGGGAAUAUUGGACAAUGGGCGAAAGCCUGAUCCAGCCAUGCCGCGUGUGUGAAGAAGGUCUUCGGAUUGUAAAGCACUUUAAGUUGGGAGGAAGGGCAGUAAGUUAAUACCUUGCUGUUUUGACGUUACCAACAGAAUAAGCACCGGCUAACUUCGUG